CACCCAAAGCUAGUUGGAAGGAAAGGAGUCUAGACAAAAAAGCACAUGCUAUCCUUCAAACGAAUAAACAUAUAUACAUAUUAACUUAAAAGAAGUUGGCUUUGUCAAAUUUUGAACGGAAACUCGGCAGUAGCCACUUAUCAAGAAGGAACACACUUUUGGCUACAGUUGGUAGUUGCUGGAAGUUGUUGCAUACAAGUCUUUGACUAGAUGAAGAGGCAAUUUUGGCUAAGCUAUAUGCAACCAAGUUGCCAUCUCUGAAGCAAUGGUUUACCGUGACAUAAUGCUAAGUGUCCUGUCCAAAAUCUGCUUGACCUUCAUAUUGUUAGUAAUUUGGUUGAUCAACAUAUUGGCUAUAAUCAGGGAGUCGAGUUCAAGAGUAAAAUUAGUGUACCCAUGUUGGAAGCACCAUUUUACCCCGAACUCCAUUGUUAGUGCUUCAGUCAUGUUGUUGCUUUCACUCUUUACUGGCACAGAAAAGGCCAUGAUCAUGUUGCUUAUGUUGUCCCUCACUAUACCUUAAAUUUCUGUUCUACCAUCCUCUUUAAUAUAGCUUCCAUCUAUAUUUACUUUGACUGUUCUUGUUGGAGGAAAUUCCCAGAUCACUUGCGUCCAUAUUCGAAUUGGUUGCAACCUCUCUAUUUUUUCACAAAGAGCGGGCCACUAUAGACCUCUAUCCGUCUCUGGAAGCUUGCUUGAAACCACCUUUUUAACAGUCCAGAUGCAUUGAUAUUUCAAUGUACUGUGUUGAAAUUUAUUUUUGUUUCCAAAUCUACAUGAAGUCUAUUGUUUUCAUAUUUCCCAGCAGAUGAUCACUUGUGCCACCUGCAUAACCAAUUUGUGAAUUGUAUGUUUUGUCUUCAUCUCGUACUAUCUUUUAUAUGUGCCAAUGACUGGUUCUAGUUGAUGUUUCAGACCCAACGGUUGUCCAAUCACAUUCCAAAUGAACUUUGCCACUUCACUUCCAUUGAAAACAUGUUGCAUUGAUUCAACCUAUGAACUAUUACAACAAAAUACAUCUAGAAACAACAUUAGUACCAAAUUUCCCUAAGAUGUCAUCAAAGGGUAAUCUUUUUUUGAAAAGUCUCCAUAUUAAGAAGGACAAUUUGAAAGGAAUAGAGUUGUGCCAAACCUUACUGAGGAAAUCAUUGUUCUGCCUGUAUAUUCUAAUAGAAUGCCAUGAGCUUUUUUUAGAGAAAAGACCAUCUUCAGAGACUUUUCAUACAGGGAAAUCAUCAAGAUUUUGGUCUUCAAUGUCCACACUAGUGAUCUUACCAAUAAUAUAAUCAGGAACCACUAUGGAUAGCUUGUUAAUAUCCCAUUAUCUAUUAGUAAUGUAUUCCUUCACCAAUAAUUUAGCAGGCUUACAAUUGCCUUGAAUAAUUCUAGCUAAGGUACCUUCACCAGUCCAGUCAAAAACUAAAGGUAUCGGAUUGUAUUUUCCAGAGGAUAUUAGAUUCUGCCUUGCUCCUACUGUUCAUCAAGGUCUUCCAACUAUGUGAAUCUGAGGAGUUUGGAAUUUUGAACACUGGAUGGGACCUUUUGCAAUAUUUGGAUUUAAGGACGGUUGUCUGAGAGAGGACUUGGUCCUAAACAUCCACCACCUUUUGAUGUUAAGGGAUUCAGUAAUGUCUUGCAUACUUUGGAUGCCUAUACCACCUUCCUCCUUAGGAUAGCAAAGAUUUUUCUAUGAAUUCCACUGAUAAUUCUUUUUACCCUCAGAAGAGCCCCAAAAGAAAUUAGAGAAAUACUUUUCAUUGAGAUUGAUAGUGCCUUUUGGGGGUUUAAGAGCCGAAAGAGUGUAAAUGGGGAGGGAUUGGAGGACAUGUUUGAUUAAAAUAAUUUUUCCCCCAUAAGAAAGUAUUUUACCUUGCCAGCCGCUGAGCCUUUUGAUAAUUCUGGAUAACAAGUUGUCAAAUAAGCUGAUUCUUUUCCUUCCCUGAUAUAUAGGGCAUCCGAGAUAGUUAAAAGGAACUUCUUUAUCCAUGAAGCCAAAGCCCUACCUGAUUCUGUUGAUCCGGUUAGCAGAAGUGUUUGGGGCAGUGAUGAAGAAACUCUUAUCCUCAUUCACUUUCUGCCCUGAAGCCUUCUCGUACCUUCUAAUAGUUGUUUAAUUAAUUUGAUAGAUCUGUUGUUUCCAGCGCUGAAUAUCACAAUAUCAUUUGCUUAUGCCAGAUGAUUGAUAACAUGUCCAUUGUGGUUCAUGCUAAAUGGAGUAAAAUCAUCCAUAGAGAUCAAACCAUUUAGAGAUCUUGAAAGCACUAUUGCUCCAAUGAUGAAAAGUGAAAGGGGAUCUCCUUGUUUGAGGCCUUGAGUGGAAGUGAAGAAAUCUUCUCUGUUGUCAUUAAUUAUAAUGGAAUACCAAACACCAGCCACAAUCCUAUAUAUAGUAUCAAUCCAUUCCUCAAUAAAUCCAAAUUUCCUCAUGGUAGCAAAAAGUAAAUUCCAAGACAUUCUGUCAUAAGCCUUAGUAAUAUCCAAUUUGAUGAUGACAUUGACUCCUUUGUUAACAUGCCUGAUGUUAUGAAAUAUUUCUUGAGACAGUAGAACAUUUUCAGUGAUCAUUGUUCCUUUAACAAAGCCACUUUGAUUAUCAAAAAUAAUUUUUUACAACAUAGGAUUCAAUCUUCUGGACAGAAUUUUAGAAAUGAUCUUACUGGAGAAAUUGCUCAGACUAAUAGGUCUAAGCUCUAAGAAGUUGGUCGGUGAAUCAACCUUGGGGAUGAGAACCAAGCAAGUGUGAGAGUAAAAUUUGGUCAUGUUCUUCCCAUUGAAAAAUUCUUGGACAAACUCUUUAAUAUCCUCUUUGAUGAUAUCCCAGCAUUUGUGAUACAAAGUGACAUUAAAGCCAUCCGGGCCAGCAGAACUAAAAGAACUCAUACUAAAGACAGCCUCCCUUAUUUUCUCACUCUGGAAUAGCAGUGAGAAUAAGGUUGUCCUCUUCUGUAAUGCAUUUAGGAAUAUGACUGAGAAUCCCCUGAUCAUUGAAGUUGUGUUUCAGAUUGAAGAAUUGCUGAAAUGAUGAAUCGCAGCUUUGCCAAUAUUAUCAUCACCCUGAACCCAGUGAUCUAUGCGAUCCUUGAUUUUGUUCAAUUGUAAUCUCCUCUUUCUUUCCAUGAUAACACUAUGAAAAUAUUUAGUGUUGGAGUCACCCUCCUCGAACCAGUUGAUCUUGAAUUUUUGUUUUAGGAUGGAAUCUUGCACUCCUAGCCAUAUGAUGUAUUGUGCCUGGACUUUGUUAAGAGCUUACCUGGAUUGGUUAUUGUUGUUUAGGGUGUCAUGUUCUUCCAGCUCUUGCAUUUUGGCCUCCCAUAACUUAACAUUAUUAGAAACAUUCUCCACCUCUUCUCUGGACCAUUGAGUCAACUUCUUACUAAGUAGUUUGGGUUUUUGUUGAAGUCUCCACAUUGGGUUGCCAGUAAUGUGAGUAGACCAUACUUGUUCAACCAAAUUCAUGAAGGAAGAUUGAUCUGCCCAAAAAUUUAAGAACUUGACAUACUUGAUUCACAUAUGUAAGUCAUUUUCACUUCUCACUAGAAUUGGUCUAUGGUCUGAUCCUGUUCUUGGAAGGUGAUUCACCAUAUUUUUAGAGUAGAGAUGGGACCAUUGAUCAUUGAUAAAGACCCUAUCUAAUCUCAUCCAAAUUCUUUUCUUUGGCUCCCCGCACCAAGUAUAUUUUGGACCAAUAAAACCCAAGUCCACAACUUCACAAUUAUCCAUGCAUUACAAAAAUCAAGACUUUUAUGCAUUCUAUGGGGUUUCCCCCCUUUCUUCUCGACUGGAUCGAGUAUGACAUUGAAGUCGCCUCUGAUACGCCAUGGGCCACUAAUAUGGUAGUGCAUAUCUUCAAGACUGCUCCACAACUCUUUUCUUUUCACUGGUGUACACUUGGCAUAAACAACAGUUAUAUAGAGAUCAGUGCUAGUACCUGCAUGGUGUACUUUAAUAGUAAUUUGCUGAUAUUCAUUAGCCAUCACACUGGUUCGGAAACUUCCCUUCCACAUGAGCCAAAUAUGACCAUUCGUAUUGGAUAUGCAGUGUUGAAGCCCCAGGAUCUGAGGCAGGUGUAUCAGGCUAUCAGUUCGGCGCGCAUCCUUGAUUUCUUCGAGACUUAGCGGUGAGCUGUCUUUCGAGCCCGUUCUGUAGCACCCGAAAUCUUCCUUUUGUUUUUACUUUUUGUCUAUUUUACUUCAAACAGUAGUGUAGUAUUUUUGUAUGUUCUACUAGUAGCUCAUACACUUGUGACACAUGAUUCUAGUAGACACAUGAUUAUCUUCUUCUUUUUUUAUA